CAGUUUUUGAGAAGUGCAGAAACAUCACCUUGCAUUUGCGAGGCCCGGCUGGCAGGUCAGGUGGUGUGGAUCACAGGAGCGUCCAGCGGGAUAGGAGAGGCCCUGGCCGUGGAGCUGGGCAGGCUGGGGGCCAGGCUGGUGCUGUCUGCCAGGAGGGAGGGGGAGCUCAGGAGAGUCAAACAACGAUGUGUGGAGACAGGAAAAGUUACUGAUAAUGAUGUGCUGGUUGUACCACUGGACUCUGUUGCCUAUGACACCCAUGCUGGAUGUGUGGAGCAUGUUCUUGCUCACUUUGGCAGAGAUGACAUCCUU